rnacentral:ncRNA from 1 species
GAAACAAUAAUGAUGAUGAAAGCUACGAUUAAAGAAUUUCUUCAGAGAGCCGAUGGUUGGUGCGAAUCGGUGAAAGGAUUAGUCUUUCCACUUUCGGAGUUGUCAGCGAUGAGCUGAAAGGUUCGUACCCUUUAUCGUACAAUGAAGUGGCUGAGAAAUCAGCAAUUUGGGUGGCAACACGGAAACCUUUCGUCCCAUAU